GAGUCUUUGAACUAAUUCUAUUUUAGUGAAUUUCCUUCCUGGCUUGGUAGCCCCUAUACGUAGGUGAGUUGCACCGAACUGGGUUAACAAUUGCUUUUGUUAUUUGCUUUACCAUUCUGUAUUUUUUAUCCAUUGUGUGUUAACAGAUAUUAGUGUCGUAACAUUACCUUCGACAUCUUAUAUCUGAUACCAGAAGUUCAAUUGGUAUCAGAGCAGGCAUCCUGCUCUGGUUCUGGGUGAGAUCUAGGGGCAAUACUUUCUGGUACAAUGGAGAGAGAUGGAGGAUCUGUUCAUAGGCCACCAAUUUUGGAUGGUUCUAACUAUGACUAUUGGAAACCUCGAAUUGGUAGCAUUUCUGAAAUCCCUGAUAGCAAGGCUUGGAAAGUUGUGGUACAGGUUGGGUGCAUCAUGUCAUUUACUAAAGAAGGAGAAGCCACCAUUAAGAAGCUGAAGAACAAUGGUCGAGGAGGAGAGAUCUUGCUCUGGAAACUCUAAAGCCUUAAAAUGCCAUAUUCAAUGGGUGGAAAAGAAUAUUUUCAGGCUGGUAAACAACUGUGAAGUGCCAAAGAGGCUUGGGACAUUCUCAAGACCACUCAUGAAGGCACCUCUAGGGUAAAGAUGUCUAGGGACUUCAGCUGCUCACCUCCAAGUUUGAAAACUUAAGGAUGAAAGAAGAUGAAAACAUUCAUGAAUUUCACAUGAGUAUCCUUGAAAUUGCUAAUGCUUCAAGAGCCCUGGGAGAGAAGAUGACAUAUGAAAAACUGGUAAGGAAAAUACUCAGGUCACUUCCUAAGAGAUUUGCAAUGAAGGUGACUGCCAUAGAAGAAUCUCAAGACAUUUCCAACAUGAGGGUAGAUGAACUAAUUGGUUCCCUCCAAACCUUUGAGUUGGGAUUAAAUGAUGGUUUUGAAAGGAAAACAAAGAGCAUGACCUUUAUGUCAAACACAUAAGAGGAUAAGAGUCCGGAGGAUGAUGAAGAUCUGGUCAAUGAAGUAGCAAUGUUGGGAAGGCAGUUCAAUAAACUGUUGAAAAAGAUGGAUGUCAGAUCAAGGGCAAAUGUCAAGAACAUCUCAUCUGACAUCAGUAAAUCCAACAAUGCUGGAAGAAGAGCAAUAUAAGAUGAGAAGCUCAAAGAAGGAAAAGAGGUUCAGUGCUAUGAAUGUGAUGGGUAUGGACACAUCAGGACUGAAUGUGGAACCUACCUCAAGAAACAGAAGAUGAGUCUUGCUGCCACUUGGUCUGAUGAGAGUGAAACAGAGGAGGCUGCAAAUCUUGUGACAGCGAUGACAGGAAGAUGGGGAUCUGAUGAAGACUUAAGUGAUGAUGAAGUAACCUUUGAAGAAUUGGCCUCUGCCUACAGAAAGUUGUGUCACAAAAGUGUAGAGCUGUACAAACAGGUUGAAAGCCAGAAGAAGGAAAUAACUCAACUUGAGAAUGAGAAGGAAGAAUACUUGGAAACCAUCUCCAAGUUACAAACAGAAGCAGUGGUUCUGAAUGCCAAGCUAGAUGAAAAUCCACAAGCUGAAAAUCAGAAGAUAACACAGCUGGAAAGUGAGAAGGCAGACCAUGCAAUAACCAUCUCUAAAUUGAAAACUGAAGUCAUGUUUCAAAAUUCAAAAUUAUAAGAGAUGACCAAGUAUGUAAGAAUGUUAAGCAAUGGGUCUGAUUCCUUAGACAAGAUUCUUCAAACUGGACAAAUAACAGGAGACAAAUCUGGCAUUGGGUAUAAUAACUCAAAGCCUGAGAGCAGUUACACUGGUGUCAAACCUCAAGCCAAACUUAAGUGCAUUCAAAAACCUGUGAUGUCAUAUCAUAUGUCACAACACCAGAGGAGAAAACAGUUGAAAGGGAAACACCNUCAUUGUGUAUUGAUUUCUGGACCUGUUUUCUCAGAGCAGGAUGUCGAGACUCUGGGUUGACUUGUAUUGCAAUCAGUUAGUUUUCAUCCAACCUAGUUGAGCCCAACUGCUAUCAUCUCUAUACCUUUCACAGGUGUCAUCCAGAUCUUCUUCAUAUUGUACUUGGCCUUUUUGCAUCGAGAUAAACAUAGAGUCCUUGUGGCUUAGUCACAACGUUCCAUUCUGCCUAUGACUGGUCAUAUGUCCACUUGUUGAUCUAACUCUCAUUUUUUUGAGCAUCAUAACUUUUCUCCUCUGAGCUUCUGGUGUGACAUCUUUUCUAUGACUUUCCCCAGCCUUGUUUUUCAUCACUCUUGAGAGCAUUUGUACUCAACCAAUCUUUAAGGGAUAUCUUUGAGAGCUCCAUAUGUAGCAAUUGUCUUUUGGUCCUGAUUCUCUCAUAAUUACUUCACUAUUUAUGUCAAAGAUUAGACAUUCAGUUUUGGUGAAGUUAACAUUCAGACCUUGAUACAUAGUUGAGCUGAUGCUUAUUAGGUUUGACGUUAAGCCUUACUAGUACAACCUUGUCAAGUUUAGGUACUCCAAGUGAAAUUAAGUCUACAUGUUCCCUUGAGAUUUCACCUUUGUUCUCCUAUCAAAGGUUUACAUGACUUAUGGUAUGGUGAUGCAGAUCAGUUAGCGGUCUUGGUUAUUUUCCAGUCAUGGUGUUUGGACUCCACUAUCAAAGUAACCACUCUUCUUGGCUGAGUUCUGAGGAAAUGUGAUAUCAGAUUGUAACAUUAGUCUUAGAGGACCAAUUGCUCUUGAUGAUAGGAUAUGCUGUUUGACGGGUCUAUUGAUAGUGAUACCUGUGAUGAGGCAGGCUAGGCAUAGCCUACAGUUUAUAGCAGAAAGGUUAGAUGAACCAAAUUUUCCACACAGUAAUGGCAUCUCCAUCUUUGGUGUUCUUUCAACUGUUUUCUCUCUUGUGUUGUGACAUAUGAUAUGACAUCACAGGUUUUUGAUGCACUUAAGUUUGGCUUGAGGUUGACACCAGUGUAAUGCUUAAAUAGUGAAGUAAUUAUGAGAGGAAUCAGGACCAAAGACAAUUGCUACAUAUGGAGCUCUCAAUUGGAUUAUCCCUUAAAGUAUUGGUUGAGUACAAAUGCUCUCAAGAGUGAUGAAAAACAAGGCUGGGGGAAAUGUCAUAGAAAGAUGUCACACCAGAAGCUCAGAGGAGAAAAGGUUAUGAUGGCUCAAAAAACUGAGAGGUUAGAUCAAACAAGUGGACAUAUGACCAGUCAUAGGCAGAAUGGAACUGUUGGGACUAAGCCACAAGGGACUCUAUGUUUAUCUCGAUGCAAAAAGGCCAAGGACAAUAUGAAGAAGAUCUGGAUGACACCUGUGAAAGGUAUAGAAGAUGAUAGCAGUUGGGCUCAACUAGGUUGGAUGAAACUAUUACUGAUUGCAUACAAUGUCACACACGAUGUCAUGACAUCCUGAAUGCUGAAACUAGGUCCAAAAAUCAGAUUCAGCACAGAUGGAUAAAGUACUGUUCUUGCUAUUAUCACUCCAUUAGAAAAUUUGUGGAAGACAAAUUCAGAAGUCUAAAGCAUGGAUUGGAACUAGUAGACAAGGGUGCAAGGAAUUUGGGUAAAAUUAAAAUUGAAUAUGUGGGAGGGAAAUUAGGGAUUUGGACUCUUGUGAAAUUAUGGCAGUUAAAGUGGAAAAAUAAAGAAAAUAAAAAUAGUGUCUGCCCUUUUAAAAGAAAGAGCCACAUUAAUGAUAAAUCAUUCCCUGGCAGGGAAAUUAGGGAUUUGGACUCUUGUGAAAUUAUGGCAGUUAAAGUGGAAAAAUAAAGAAAAUAAAAAUAGUGUCUGCCCUUUUAAAAGAAAGAGCCACAUUAAUGAUAAAUCAUUCCCUGGCAUUGGAAAUAGUAUCUAUUCCCUUAGCACACGCUACCUAAACACAACAAUCUCCCUCUCCAUUCAUCUUCUCAGAGAAGCUCAGCUAGGGCAAAGAAAAUUUUCUCAAAAGUCCUACAACAUGUCUCAACAUUCAUCAUCAUCUAGUUCAAAAUCUUCUCACCAUGGAAAAACUCCCUUAAUAGAGUUUGUAGAUGAAGACGUGAUGGACGUCACUCCACUUUGCAUGAUACCAGGCGACACCCCAGGUCCCUCCUCCAAAGCUGGAGAUAAGCAUGGUAAUACCUCUGGUAACUCCUCUCUCCCAAAAGACAUGCAUUAUGCUGAUCGUGCCAUAAGGAACCUAGUCACUAGGAUUCUAAGAGAAGGGCAUGAAGUCAAAGGGGUUUCUACCCCUCUGUCUAGAAGGGACCCCUCUCCUGAGGAGGAACCUCAUGAGUCAAAGGGGUUUCUACCCCUCUGUCUAGAAGGGACCCCUCUCCUGAGGAGGAACCUCAUGCUGAUAAAGAUGAUGACUCAUCUAAAUCAGAAAAAGAAGUUGCUGCUGAAGGGCUAUGCUCUCUAGAUAAAACCCUACCUAGCAAGAAACCAACAAGUAUGUCUCAGGAGAAGGUUAUUGACCUAGAGGAAGAAAGCUCUGAAGAAGAGGAUGAUCCUUUGGUUAAUCAUGUAAAACCUAGUGUUGCUGAGAAACUGAGAACUAGGCAAGGGAAAAGUGUGGCUAAAAUGAGAACAGGAAGAGUGAAAAAGACUGCUGGUAUAGGACCCUCAAAAGCUUGGAGCUAAGUUGAGGUUAGGAAAAGGAAAGAAAGAGAUAGCUCUGACUCUGAGGAAGAUGUCAAACACGAUGUCCCAGACAUCUCAUCUGCUAAAAGGAAAACUGUUAUAAAGUCUCCAGCUAAGGUUACAGCUGUGCAUUUGGACAAUAUUUCCUUCCAUUUGGAAGAUGGUGAAGCCAAGGAGUCAGACGCCCAUACCUCAAGUGAGAAGUCUAAUUCUCAAGAUCAAUCUAGUGGUAGUUCUGAAUCUGAAAGUGAAGAAGAUGCUACCUCCUCAGACUAAGUUGUGGUGAUGGUCCCCCUGUUAUGAUGACAUGGGUGCUGUUCUGGAUGCUGUUAUGACUGUUUUGGAAGCUUGGAUGUUUUGUUUCUGUUGAAAUGUUUGUAUUUUGUGGCAGUCCUUACUGAUGCCUUGGUGUAAGAUUUGGGCUCUUAAUGAGUUCCAUGGAUUUCUCAUUAUCUCAGUUGUCACAGCUGUGUAUGAUGAUGGUUUGUAUCUCCUAACAAUUAUGUUAUAACAUUUUUAAUGUUAUAACAUCUGCUGUGACAUUCUCUGCUAGGAUAAUUGACAUUUAUUUUGUCUAAUUGGUCACCUUUGGUCAAUUUUGACUAAAAAGGGGGAUAAGUGAUUAUGUGGAGAGCUGCAGUUAAAUAUGUGGUUGUGGAGAUCUGCAGUGCUGAUGUAGCUAGCUAGGCUAAACAGAUGACAACUGAUGAUGUUGAAUAGAAUGAUGUUCUAUGAUGUUGGAAGAGAUGUCUGAUGUAAGACAAAAUGGUGUUCUGUUAUGAGAUGUUGGAGGAGAUGUCUGAUGUUCUGCGCAAGCUCUGUUCUGUACAGAUGAUGUUGAAGGAGAUGUCAGAAGGAAGUUCUGAACGUUAACAUGUUGAAGGAGAUGUCAAAAGGAAAUUCUGAAUGUUAACAUGUUGAAGCAGAUGUCAGAAUGACAUUCUGAUUGUUACAUGUGUUGUGGUUACAUGUGCUGUUAUUAUCAAAGAAGAUGUUUGUUGUAUGCACAGAUUUAGGGGGAGAAGGAGUACCCUUGUGCAUUUGUGUGUCUUACUAGUUGCAUCCAUAACUAGUAAUUCUGUUUGUUGCACAGAUUUAGGGGGAGGAGAAGUACCCUUUGUAUUACUAUAGCCAUAACUAGUAAUUGUUUUGCUUCUGCUGUUGAUUAAACUACUGCUAUGUUGUUUAAACUGCUGAUAGAGUUACCUUGUGAACAAAAAGGACAGAUAUAUGUUUUAGCCAAUAUUUGCCAAAUGGGAGUUUGUUGAUUCUAAGAGUUCGGCGAGCAAUUUUGGUAAAACAAAGAGUGUUCACAAGAUGUCAUGUGUGAUGUCUUAACAUGAGAUAUCCUAUGUACCUGCUGGAGUUCAAGAACAUGUUCAUGCAGGAUUGUUUCAGAAUGCCACAUACAAUGACAAGGCUUCUGGUAUUGGAUGUACCUGCUGGAGCUUAAAUGAAAGACACGUUCAUGCAGGAUUGUUUCAGAUGACAUACACAAUGUCAUGGCAUCUGAUAUGGCUGUAUCUGCUGGAAGUUAUAAAAGGAAUUAUUGGAUUAUGCAGGAUUUUUCCAGGAUGUCAGACCCGAUGUCAUGACAUCCUGUACACAGAACAUUCAAUAUGAAUGUCUGAUGUUUUGUGAUUGCACAAUUAAUGGCAAUCUUUGGAUGAUUAAAGAUAUGAUUAGCUGGCGCAUUCAAUCAUGGAUUACAACCAGAUUUAUUUAUUUUCCAAGGAGAUCUAAACAACUGUUAUAAAAAGAUUUGAUUGGAAAAUAGAUUUAGGGUUUUCAAGAUGUCCAAACCCAGCUGGAUGCUUCUAUAAAAAGGGACUUAGAAAACCUGUUUGUACACACAACCAAUACUGAGCGAAAUAUAGAGAGAGAGCUAGGGUUUGUGUCUGUUUAGUCAUGAGACUUGUAGGUCAUUCAAGUCAUCCAUUGAUGAUUGAAUUGGACUGAUUUGUGGUUGUAAUUGUCACUCUAAAGCUGUUAAGCAAGAAUGUGUGUCUUCUUGAUCAAAGCUGUGAAGCAAGAUAAAAUCAGGAGCUGUGUUCCUUCUUGCUUGAAAACGUCAGGUUGGAAGUAAAAUCAAAGAGGUACACUUCUUGAUCUUGCUCACAGUUUGAUCUCAUACGUUACUUGCAUUCGUAUCGUUGCUUACAGUAAAAUGAAGCAGUUUGUGUAUAAAUUGAUGAACGUAAUUUCUUUCUUACCAGAGAUUGUCCUGUUUAAAGAUUCCUGUUACGAAUGUGUGAAUUGAUAGUCGGAAGUGGAGUGAGUUCUCAUAUCUAAAAGUGCUUAGGUAGAUUAGCACGGGUAGAGAUUAGGUGAGAAAGACUGUAACUUGUUGAAGUGUACAGAGAGUCUUUGAACUAAUUCUAUUUUAGUGAAUUUCCUUCCUGGCUUGGUAGCCCCCAGACGUAGGUGAGUUGCACUGAACUGGGUUAACAAUUGCUUGUGUUAUUUGCUUUACCAUCCUGUAUUUUUUAUCCAUUGUGUGUUAACAGAUAUUAGUGUCGUAACAUUACCUUCGACAUCUUAUAUCUGAUACCAGAAUUUCAGCACUAUGAGGAUACGUAGGCACGAGGAUGCGAGUCCUUGGAGAGCGCCUUUCUCCACCCUUCUUUCC
rnacentral:lncRNA from 1 species